rnacentral:rRNA from 1 species
UCCUUCCGGAGCAGCAGUAGGGAAUAUUCCACAAUGAGCGAAAGCUUGAUGGAGCGACACAGCGUGCACGAUGAAGGUCUUCGGAUUGUAAAGUGCUGUUAUAAGGGAAGAACAUUUGCAAUAGGAAAUGAUUGCAGACUGACGGUACCUUGUCAGAAAGCGAUGGCUAACUAUGUGCCAGCAGCCGCGGUAAUACAUAGGUCGCAAGCGUUAUCCGGAAUUAUUGGGCGUAAAGCGUUCGUAGGCUGUUUGUUAAGUCUGGAGUUAAAUCCCGGGGCUCAACCCCGGCUCGCUUUGGAUACUAGCAAACUAGAGUUAGAUAGAGGUAAGCGGAAUUCCAUGUGAAGCGGUGAAAUGCGUAGAUAUAUGGAAGAACACCAAAGGCGAAGGCAGCUUACUGGGUCUAUACUGACGCUGAGGGACGAAAGCGUGGGGAGCAAACAGGAUUAGAUACCCUGGUAGUCCACGCCGUAAACGAUGAUCAUUAGUCGGUGGAGAAUCACUGACGCAGCUAACGCAUUAAAUGAUCCGCCUGAGUAGUAUGCUCGCAAGAGUGAAACUUAAAGGAAUUGACGGGGACCCGCACAAGCGGUGGAGCAUGUGGUUUAAUUUGAAGAUACACGGAAAACCUUACCCACUCUUGACAUCCUUCGCAAAGCUAUAGAGAUAUAGUGGAGGUUAACAGAGUGAG